rnacentral:rRNA from 1 species
UACGAAGGGUGCAAGCGUUGUUCGGAAUCAUUGGGCGUAAAGCGCGCGCAGGCGGAUCAGCAAGUCAGAUGUGAAAUCUCGGAGCUCAACUUCGAAACUGCGUCUGAAACUGCUAGUCUAGAAUGUCGGAGGGGGCAGGGGAAUUUCACGUGUAGGGGUAAAAUCCGUAGAGAUGUGAAGGAACACCGGAGGCGAAGGCGCCUGCCUGGACGACUAUUGACGCUGAGGAGCGAAAGCGUGGGGAGCGAACAGG